UAUGGGACACGCGUCCAUCUUUCACGGUUUCUUCUCUCUCUCUUCUCUCUUUCUGUCUCGGCUUGAAAAAAAGAAAUCAGAGAGUUGCGAUUGAUCUCUCCGGCUUCGUUCUUCACCUUUCAUCGCGAUGAAUCAGUCGGUUACGUGUAUCGACUCUGCGCCUUUCUUUCGCCUCUCCGCCUCCGCCUCCGCCUGUAAUAACCCUCAUGAGCCAAUAAAUUUUUGGUCGAGAAAAAUCCCGAUCGACCAGUUUUUAGUUGGUUCAACAAGGAUUAAUAAAAAUAAAGAUCGACCUGGUAGAUUAAUUCCUCGAAGGGACUGUCUUGUGGUUGAAAGACCUUCACUUGAUAGUUUGGUCGAGUCUUAAAUAUUUUGGUCGAAUUUUUAUUAAACUGGAAGAGAUUUUCCGAGAACAAGACGAGAGCCAAAGACAAGGAAUAUUUGGUUGAACAAUUAUUGAAAAUUAUCAACCAACUGCUAAAAUUAAUUUUGGACCAGACUCAUGUCUUCCACCAGCCUGCUUGCUCAGUCUUUAAUCACAUGACUUGCACCUGCCUGCUUGCCUAGCUUCUUCAGUAACUGUCACAUGACAAUCACAAGCUGCCUGCUUGCCUUGUUUCUUAGAUUGUCAUGUGAGAAGCACAUGAAAGGGCUGGAGUUUCUUCAGGUUAAGGAAAGGACAGCAGCUUGUGCUGAGAGUGCUGAAACAGCUGGCCAGCUGUCCCCACUCAGCUUAGCUUUGUCCUGAGUGAAACCCUCACCUGAAGCAAGCUCACCUCAUAUUUAACCUCUCCUCCAGCUGCUUCCCACGUUCUGAAACCUCAGAAAAAUACACAAAAUUUUCAGAGAGAAAGAGAGAAAGAAGAAGAGAAAAUCAGUGAGAAAAUCAGGAAAUAAAAUCAAGAAAAAAAUUGUUGGUGAUUUGAUCUUCACCCCUAGCUCAGUCAGUUGCUGUGAGAAAGAUCAGAAGCCACAAUCUAAUCUUGGAGAAGAGGAUCAGCUGAGGCCAUCUAGUCCUUUGGUUCAUCUUGUUUCAGGUAAGAGGUGGAGUAAGGCCUUAGGUAUCCAACCAGUUCCAAGACUAAUCUCUUAGGUAACCCUUAGGCGGGAGACACUUUGCUCUUUUGGACGGAAGGAGCGGCCAACCAGCGG